rnacentral:rRNA from 1 species
UUAUUUGAGAGUUUGAUCCUGGCUCAGGAUGAACGCUGGCGGCGUGCCUAACACAUGCAAGUCGAGCGAUUCUC